UCAAUCAGGUGUGUUCCGCCGCAUUUCUCUGAUAGUGUGUUGUAUGGUCAGUGUUAUGAUCUCACAGUAACAAAGUAAUAAAUAAGUGCGUUUUCUAAGGGUUGUUAAUAAAAAGUGUCAUGACAGCUGUGCCAAUAAUAGAUAUGUGUUACUUCGGUUAAGCUCCGAAUUCAGAAAAUCGAACGCAGUGAUGUUAAUGUGAAGGCAGCAAGCAAGCAAUAGAGGUGUCCUAGGCCUACCUAUGGCACAAGGAGUUAGGAUACAGCCAGCUUCCUCACUAGGCAAAUUAGUCAGCAUUUACGACUAUGAUGGCUCCAAUUACUGAGCAGGCAAGGAGAUACUCUUCAAUUUCUUCUCCUCAUCUUGGUACAAUAGGAGGAUGUCAGGAAACACGGAAGUUAGCCAAAAAUGUAUAUGUGACGGUACUUACUUUCUUCGCACAGCUCUAAGAAAUAAAACAGAAAACAGCAGUAACAAGUGCCUCAUGGUGAAUCAGAUGGGAGUAACGCCAUAAUGAUCUUUCCUCGAGGAACUCGCAAAUUGAAAUGUAGUAGAUGCUUGCGCAUAAUGGAAUCUUGGAAGAAAUUUGUAUUGCUGAAAUGAAUGGAGGCAAACUGCCUUGUUCUUCUUUGGUUGGACGCUGCCACUUUCGACCCAGCGAUGAAUCCAUCGGUAAAUUGUGCCGGUGCUGGUGUCGGUAAUUUCGGCUAUCUUGCGAAUGGAUGCCCCUCCCAGCCAUAGCCACACUAUCUCGACCCUUUCCUGGACGCUGGUCCUUGCGUGCCUUUGUCUCUUGUGCAUGGCUUCCUCACCUGUGCAAUAAACUUUUGAAUUACUGAGAUCGAUACACCCACAACUGCAGUUCUAUCAAAGCGCUGCACAUUACGGCGUCUAAACGAGAUUCUAAGGAUCACGGGACAAAAUAUUUCCAGAGCUUCGAAGCUGAACUUAGAAUACUUUUACCAGAGAUUACAAGCAUGGUACAGAGCAGAACUUGAGAGGCUUGCAAAAUAUGUUAGCGAAAGCACUUGGGGACCAUGAGUCAGAAGAAAAAAGUAACAUUCAGUAGCUAUGCAGCUUGAUUAUUAAAGAGGAGAAAAAUUAAAGAUAAUAUUAUAAAAACGAAACUUUAUGACUAAG